CGGUAAAUAAUUUUUUUGUAGCGUAAAAGCUAAAUAAAUUCAUACAUACUAUAAUACAGAUAACCAAAGUAUAAAAUUUAAUUUACAGUGACACGUGGGCCCACGAAUGACUAAAAGUAUCAAAAGAAAUGAACCUAGAAUUUUUGGAUGUGGCAAGUCCAACUGUAGUCCUCGACGAUAUCAGUUAUCUACAAUCUAUUUUGAGCCUGAAAUGGGUGGAAAUGAGGGUGGUGAGAUUAUAUAAUCCCAGUCAGUAAACAAAUACCAUCUAAAAUAUCUAAAGCCGAGUAAAUGAAGACAGAUAAAAUAGUUUAACAUACUGUAAUUCAUCACCUUUCAACUUGUUUCAACCAAAUAAAAUCAAUUCAUAUAAAUCGAGUAAUCAACAUGGCUUAUGAAUUUCUUAAAAGCUUUGGCUUGUGCCAAAAUCAUUCUCAUACCCAGUUAUCAGGGAUCCCUUGAUCGAGGGCUAUCCCAAUCGAGUCCGCCAAGGCUGUAAAAAUUUAUGUACGCAUAAAUCAUGUUUUUUGUUUUGAAAACAUAGUCGUUCCUUGACGUUGACUAAGUUCACCCUCACAUGGUGGUUUGGCAUGAAGUGAACUCUAAAAGUUAUACCUCAGGAGUUACCCUACUUGCCUCUCCAACCGAGGUAAAAUAUAACGGGGUUACCAUGCCCCUCUAAUAGGCUGGUCCAUGGAACCCGCCCACUGCAGUAAGCUAAUAAUUAUCCCACCAAUCAAUAAAAUUCAAUAACAUGAUAUGACAAUUAUUGUAACUCACAGCCUUUCAAGGAAAAUAAACAAUCCGUAUUUCAAUGCAAUUGCCAACUAGCCAAUCAUGCCCAUAGUGCCAUAAGCCAAUCAAUUAAAACCGUAAACUUACAACACAUCAAGUGGUCUCCAAUUACUCUAUUUUCAAAGCCAUCAUUUAAUUUCAAAACAAUAUUAUGAAAUCAUUUCAUUAAAUCACAUUCUGUUUACAAAACCAAAAAAUUAAUCAUUUAAUUAAUUUUCCAUAAAAUUCACAAAAUCGAAUAAAACAUACUUUAGAUAAUUAAGAUGAUGAUAAGGUUACUCACUAUGUCAAGAGUUCGGAUUUUGAAGUACUCUGACUAUUAAUCCUUGGGUGCAAUUUCUUUUCCCUUUUUCGGAGGAUUCACCACCUAGACAUAAUGUAAAAUCAAGCAAUUUACCACAUUGGUGCUAGACCAUUAUAAAACUAUUCUAAACUCUAUAUGGAUGCAUGAUAUGAAACGCGAAUUGUUCGGAUUAUUGUCUACAUGUGGUGUUGGUCUAACUCGAUUAAUCACCCGAUUAAUUGGCCAAUAUGUCCAAUUCAACUCCAAUUAACUCCAUUUCUUUUUCAAUACCUUAAUUCACCAAACACAAGUCAAAUAACCUAAAAUUUGGCAAAUCCAUCUUCACUUUUCUUCUUAGAAUUUUCGAUCAAUAAUGGUGCAUCAACAUCGUGAUUUUUCCUACUACUUUUCCUCACCAUAAUUCAUCAUUUUCUAACCAAUUCUCUUAAAAUAAAAAUCAAAUUCAUCCUCACUCAAUACAAGGUAGGUUCGGCCAUUGAUGGGUGAUGGGGAAAAUGAAUUCUUUUCUUAUUGUUUUACUUCUAGACAUGGUAAACUAACUAAAAAUACUAACAUAACUUGAAAUCAAAUCAAUCCAACAUCAUUCUCUCUCCAUACCCAUUCGGCUAGCCAUGAAUUCACCAUGAAAACAUGUAAUUUAACCAUGAAAAAUGCAAAAUAAUGCAUGGGAAAGGUAGAUCACAAGUCAAAAUCAAGAAAUUUUACCUUUGAUUGCUUGAUUACUUGAAAUCCACCAAUUUUCUCUUGAAUUUUCACCCUAGGGUUCUUAUUCUUUCUUUUCUUCCUUUGUUCUUCCUUUGGCGGGCCAUAUGAAGAGAA
rnacentral:lncRNA from 1 species